CGCCCUGGCUGGGAGCAGGGAGGAGCAAGACGCGCGGCUGGAGAUGGUGAAUUGGUGGCCGGCGUUGGAGGAGGAGGGUGCAGGGAGCUUGGAGUUGCGGCUGGGCGCCGGCCAUGGAGGAGGCAAGCUCCAGCCGGACUUGGGGAAGGAGCCAGAGAGAGCUCGCGACGAGCAGCAGCAAGGGGAAUGGAGGUCUGAGUGGGGGAGAUUGUUGGCGAGCUCGCGGCAGGGAGGUGAGCUCGGCCAUGGGAAUGGCUGCUUGCUGCCUUGCUGCGGGAGGAAGAAGCAGGGGGCACCGCGCCAUUGCUGGCCGCGGGGAGGAAAGGGAGAUUGCAGGGGCGCCAUGGACAGGGACGCCAUUGGGCUGCUGGAGAAAUCAGGGCGCCAUCCAUGGGAAGAAGGAGGAGCUCGCGCCCAUGGAGUGGGAGAGCUGGGCGACCCUGAAGUUUCUGCGCGUUGGAGAAGACAGCAAAGGGGGAGGAGCUCGCUGCUGGGCUGCUCGCCGGCCAUGGAGAAGAGCAGAGAAGGUCGUGGCCAAUGGGGGAUCAGGGGCGUCGGCGUGCUCCCAGGGAGCUCCUGCUC
rnacentral:misc_RNA from 1 species